rnacentral:rRNA from 1 species
UUAAGUUAUUAAGGGCGCAUGGUGGAUGCCUUGGCACUAGGAGCCGAUGAAGGACGGGACUAACACCGAUAUGCUUCGGGGAGCUGUAAGUAAGCUUUGAUCCGGAGAUUUCCGAAUGGGGGAACCCAACUUGUUAUGCAAGUUAUCACCUAAUGAAUAUAUAGUUAGGUUGAAGGUAGACGUUGUGAACUGAAACAUCUCAUUAGCAACAGGAAUAGAAAGAAAAAUCGAUACCGUCAGUAGCGGCGAGCGAAAUCGGUAGAGCCCAAACCAAAGUGCUUGCACUUUGGGGUUGUAGGACUGACAUUGUGGAGUUACAAAGUUAGCAUUUAGCAGAAUCAGCUGGGAAGCUGAGCGAGACAGGGUGAUAGCCCCGUAUGCGAAAAAUGUUGACCUCCCGUCAGGAUCCUGAGUACGGCCGGACACGUGAAAUCCGGUCGGAAUCCGCGAGGACCAUCUCGCAAGGCUAAAUACUCCCUAGUGACCGAUAGUGAACCAGUACCGUGAGGGAAAGGUGAAAAGCACCCCGGAAGGGGAGUGAAAAAGUUCCUGAAACCAUGUGCCUACAAGAAGUUAGAGCCCGUUAAUGGGUGAUAGCGUGCCUUUUGUAGAAUGAACCGGCGAGUUACGAUAACGUGCAAGGUUAAGGUGGAAAGACCGGAGCCGUAGCGAAAGCGAGUCUGAAAUGGGCGAAUUAGUACGUUGUUGUAGACCCGAAACCAGGUGACCUACCCAUGUCCAGGGUGAAGGUGCGGUAAAACGCACUGGAGGCCCGAACCCGUGCAUGUUGAAAAUGCUGGGAUGAGGUGUGGGUAGCGGUGAAAUUCCAAUCGAACUUGGAGAUAGCUGGUUCUCUCCGAAAUAGCUUUAGGGCUAGCCUCGGAAUGUAGCGUGUUGGAGGUAGAGCACUGUUUUGGUGCGGGGCCAUCUCGGGUUACCAAAUUAAGAUAAACUCCGAAUGCCAAUCACGUAUGUCCGGGAGUCAGACAGUGAGUGAUAAGAUCCAUUGUCGAAAGGGGAACAGCCCAGAUCGUCAGUUAAGGUCCCUAAGUGUGUGUUAAGUGGAAAAGGAUGUGGAGUUGCAUAGACAACUAGGAUGUUGGCUCAGAAGCAGCCACCAUUUAAAGAGUGCGUAAUAGCUCACUAGUCGAGUGAUUCUGCGCCGAAAAUGUACCGGGGCUAAACACACCACCGAAACUACGGGUGCCACGUAAGUGGCGCGAUAGGAGAGCGUUCUAAGGGCGAUGAAGUCAGACCGUGAGGACUGGUGGAGCGCUUAGAAGUGAGAAUGCCGGUAUGAGUAGCGAAAGACAGGUGAGAAUCCUGUCCACCGUAUGACUAAGGUUUCCUGGGGAAGGCUCGUCCUCCAGGGUUAGUCGGGACCUAAGGCGAGGCCGAAAGGCGUAGUCGAUGGAUAACAGGUUGAGAUUCCUGUACCAGGUGAACAUGUUUGAACGAUGGAGGGACGCAGAAGGCUAACGGAUCCCAGCUGCUGGAUAUGCUGGGUUAAAUAAUGAGUCUUAGAUCGAGUUAAAUGCUUUAUCUUUUAAGGACAAGUUAUGAUGAGGACCGAAAUAAAGUAGGGAAGUCCGUGAUGUCACGCUGCCGAGAAAAGCUUCUAGUUAGUGUUUACCUGCCCGUACCGCAAACCGACACAGGUAGUCGAGGAGAGCAUCCUAAGGUGAGCGAGUGAACUCUCGUUAAGGAACUCGGCAAAAUGACCCGUAACUUCGGGAGAAGGGGUGCUCAGCGAAAGCUGAGCCGCAGUGAAUAGGCCCAGGCGACUGUUUAUCAAAAACACAGGUUUCUGCAAAAUCGUAAGAUGACGUAUAGGGGCUGACGCCUGCCCGGUGCUGGAAGGUUAAAAGGAGUGCUUAGCUUCGGCGAAGGUACGAAUUGAAGCCCCAGUAAACGGCGGCCGUAACUAUAACGGUCCUAAGGUAGCGAAAUUCCUUGUCGGGUAAGUUCCGACCCGCACGAAAGGCGUAACGAUCUGGGCACUGUCUCAACGAGAGACUCGGUGAAAUUUAAAUACCCGUGAAGAUGCGGGUUACCCGCGACAGGACGGAAAGACCCCAUGGAGCUUUACUGUAGCUUGAUAUUGAGUGUUU